rnacentral:rRNA from 1 species
GAUGAACGCUGGCGGCGUGCCUAAUACAUGCAAGUCGAGCGAACGGACGAGAAGCUUGCCUUUCUGAUGUUAGCGGCGGACGGGUGAGUAACACGUGGAUAACCUACCUAUAAGACUGGGAUAACUUCGGGAAACCGGAGCUAAUACCGGAUAAUAUUUUGAACGGCAUGGUUCAAAAGUGAAAGACGGUCUUGCUGACACUAAUAGAUGGAUCCGCGCUGCAUUAGCUAGUUGGUAAGGUAACGGCUUACCAAGGCAACGAUGCAUAGCCGACCUGAGAGGAUGAUCAGCCACACUGGAGCUGAGACACGGUCCAGACUCCUACGGGAGGCAGCAGUAGGGAAUCUUCCGCAAUGGGCGAAAGCCUGACGCAGCAACGCCGCGUGUGUGAUGAAGGUCUUCGGAUCGUAAAACUCUGUUAUUAGGGAAGAACAUAUGUGUAAGUAACUGUGCACAUCUUGACGGUACCUAAUCAGAAAGCCCCGGCUAACUACGUG